rnacentral:rRNA from 1 species
CAAGGAAUUUUCCCCAAUGGGCGCAAGCCUGAGGGAGCAACGCCGCGUGCAGGACGGCGGCCUUCGGGUUGUAAACUGCUUUUGCGUGGGACGAUAACGACGGUACCACGCGAAUAAGCCCCGGCUAACUCUGUGCCAGCAGCCGCGGUAAUACAGAGGGGGCAAGCGUUGUCCGGACUUACUGGGCGUAAAGCGCACGCAGGUGGUAAGGCAAGUGGGGUGUGAAAGCCGCCAGCUUAACUGGCGGAGGCCAUCCCAAACUGCCUCACUUGAGGCCUGUAGGUUGUUAUG